GAUGAACGCUAGCGGGAGGCCUAACACAUGCAAGCUGAGCGGUAGAGAUCUUUCGGGAUCUUGAGAGCGGCGUACGGGUGCGGAACACGUGUGCAACCAGCCUUUAUCAGGGGGAUAGCCUUUCGAAAGGAAGAUUAAUACCCCAUAAUAUAAUGAGUGGCAUCACUUAUUAUUGAAAACUCCGGUGGAUAGAGAUGGGC
rnacentral:rRNA from 1 species